rnacentral:rRNA from 1 species
CCUACGGGAGGCUGCAGUGGGGAAUAUUGGACAAUGGGGGCAACCCUGAUCCAGCCAUGCCGCGUGUGUGAAGAAGGCCCUCGGGUUGUAAAGCACUUUCAGUGAGGAAGAACGCCUGGUGGUUAAUACCCAUCAGGAAAGACAUCACUCACAGAAGAAGCACCGGCUAACUCCGUGCCAGCAGCCGCGGUAAUACGGAGGGUGCGAGCGUUAAUCGGAAUUACUGGGCGUAAAGCGCGCGUAGGUGGCUUGAUAAGCCGGUUGUGAAAGCCCCGGGCUCAACCUGGGAACGGCAUCCGGAACUGUCAAGCUAGAGUGCAGGAGAGGAAGGUAGAAUUCCCGGUGUAGCGGUGAAAUGCGUAGAGAUCGGGAGGAAUACCAGUGGCGAAGGCGGCCUUCUGGACUGACACUGACACUGAGGUGCGAAAGCGUGGGUAGCAAACAGGAUGAGAUACCCCUGUAGUC